rnacentral:rRNA from 1 species
CCUACGGGCGGCAGCAGUGAGGAAUAUUGGUCAAUGGCCGGAAGGCUGAACCAGCCAUGCCGCGUGAAGGUCAGUGCCCUAUGGGCGUUAAACUUCUUUUGUGCGGGAGCAAUACUGGUCACGUGUGGCCAGACGAGAGUACCGUACGAAUAAGCAUCGGCUAACUCCGUGCCAGCAGCCGCGGUAAUACGGGGGAUGCAAGCGUUAUCCGGAUUUAUUGGGUUUAAAGGGUGCGUAGGCUGUGAGGUAAGUCAGCGGUGAAAUGCCCCCGCUCAACGGGGUGAAGUGCCAUUGAUACUGCCUGGCUGGAGUGCGGAUGCCGUGGGAGGAAUGUGUGGUGUAGCGGUGAAAUGCAUAGAUAUCACACAGAACACCGAUUGCGAAGGCAUCUCACGGAUCCGCGAUUGACGCUGAUGCACGAAAGCGUGGGUAUCAAACAGGAUUAGAUACCCUGGUAGUC